rnacentral:lncRNA from 1 species
AAAAUGGCUCUCUGUGUAUCUUUUACUCGCCAGGGGCUAUGGUGCAGACUAUGAGCCUGGUAUUUUGAGAAAAAGGAGAUCCCUGGGGACUUAAAAUGAUGUAUGAAGUUCAUUGUCACAAGACCAUCGAAUAUCAAAUCACUGUCUCUGCUUUCUCUGUAGGUAACCUGUCUCCAUGAUUUCUUUGGUGAUGAUGAUGUGUUUAUUGCCUGCGGUCCUGAAAAAUUUCGCUAUGCUCAGGAUGACUUUUCUCUGGAUGAAAAUGAAUGCCGAGUCAUGAAGGGAAACCCAUCAGCCACAGCUGGCCCUAAGGCAUCCCCAACACCUCAGAAGAGUUCAGCUAAGAGCCCUGGCCCCACGCGCCGGAGCAAGUCUCCAGCUGACUCAGCAAACGGAACCUCCAGCAGCCAGCUCUCUACCCCCAAGUCUAAGCAGUCUCCCAUCUCUACGCCCACCAGUCCUGGCAGCCUCCGGAAGCACAAGGUAGACCUGUACCUGCCUCUGUCCUUGGAUGACUCAGACUCACUUGGUGAUUCCAUGUGA